rnacentral:rRNA from 1 species
AACGAACGCUGGCGGCGUGCCUAACACAUGCAAGUCGAACGGAGAGAAGGGGCUUGCUCCUUAUUUUAGGGGCGAACGGGUGAGUAACGCGUAGAUAAUCUGCCUGAUGAUUUGGGAUAACAGUUCGAAAGGACUGCUAUUACCGGAUAAGCCCACGGGGUCUUUGGACUCUGCGGGAAAAGGGGGGGACCUUCGGGCCUUCUGUCAUCAGAUGAGUCUGCGUACCAUUAGCUAGUUGGUAGGGUAAUGGCCUAACAAGGCUACGAUGGUUAACUGGUGUGGGAGGGAGCUCAGCCACACUGGAACUGGGACAAGGUCCAGAACCCUGCGGGAGGCAGCCGUGGGGAAUUUUGCGCAAUGUGCGAAAGCCCGACGCAGCAGCGCCGCCUGAGUGAUGAAGGCUUUCGGGUCGUAAAGCUCUGUCAGAGGGAAAGAAGUGUAUUAUGGCUAAUAUCCACGAUACUUGACGGUACCCUCAAAGGAAGCACCGGCUAACUCCGUGCCGGCCGCCGCCGUAAAAC